AUUGAACGCUGGCGGCAUGCCUUACACAUGCAAGUCGAACGGUAACGGGCCUGCGGGUGCCGACGAGUGGCGAACGGGUGAGUAAUACAUCGGAACGUGCCCGAUCGUGGGGGAUAACGAGGCGAAAGCUUUGCUAAUACCGCAUACGAUCUACGGAUGAAAGCAGGGGACCGCAAGGCCUUGCGCGGACGGAGCGGCCGAUGGCAGAUUAGGUAGUUGGUGGGAUAAAAGCUUACCAAGCCGACGAUCUGUAGCUGGUCUGAGAGGAUGAUCAGCCACACUGGGACUGAGACACGGCCCAGACUCCUACGGGAGGCAGCAGUGGGGAAUUUUGGACAAUGGGCGCAAGCCUGAUCCAGCCAUGCCGCGUGCAGGAUGAAGGCCUUCGGGUUGUAAACUGCUUUUGUACGGAACGAAAAGCCUUCUUUUAAUACAGGAGGGUCAUGACGGUACCGUAAGAAUAAGCACCGGCUAACUACGUG
rnacentral:rRNA from 1 species